GAUGAACGCUGGCGGCGUGCCUAAUACAUGCAAGUCGUGCGGUAACAUGCCCUUCGGGGUGAUGACGAGCGGCGGACGGCUGAGUAGCGCGUAGGAACGUGCCCCAAAGUGAGGGAUAAGCUCCAGAAAUGGAGUCUAAUACCGCAUAUGGUCUUCGGAUUAAAGCUUUCGAGCGCUUUGGGAGCGGCCUGCGUACGAUU
rnacentral:rRNA from 1 species